AACGAACGCUGGCGGCAUGCCUAACACAUGCAAGUCGAACGUGACCUUCGGGUCUAGUGUCGCACGGGUGCGUAACGCGUGGGAACCUGCCCUUAGGUUCGGAAUAACUCCCCGAAAGGGGUGCUAAUACCGGAUAAUGUCUUCGGACCAAAGAUUUAUCGCCUUUGGAUGGGCCCUCGUUGGAUUCGCUAGUUGGUAGGGUAAAAGCCUACCAAGGCGACGAUCCAUAGCUGGUCUGAGAGGAUGAUCAGCCACACUGGGACUGAGACACGGCCCAGACUCCUACGGGAGGCAGCAGUGGGGAAUAUUGGACAAUGGGCGAAAGCCUGAGCCAGCAAUGCCGCGUGAGUGAUGAAGGACUUAGGGUUGUAAAGCUCUUUUAACCGGGAUGAUAAUGACAGUACCGGGAGAAUAAGCGCCGGCUAACUCCGUG
rnacentral:rRNA from 1 species